GGGACUUCAUUUGCUGCUGACACUAGGUGGAUUGAUUAAGGUGCCCAUCUUUCCUAUGAGGUUCACACUCUGGGACUCCUUCUCCAUCCCCCAGAAUCGCUUUCUGGACCCCAGGACAGGGCUAAAGGGCCACAGACGGGUGGCCUCCAUGACAGGAGAACACUGUCAGCCGGUUCCGGAGGCUCAGGCCAGGGUCGAGGGGAGGCCUCCUCCCGGCCGCAGACGGUGUCCUUCCCGGUGUCUUCCUAUGGCCUGGCCCCUGUGUGUCUGCGCCCUCAUCACCUACUCAAGGUCACCGAGGACGCGAGCCAUCCUGGAUGAGGGCCUCAGUUCAACUUAAUCAGCACUUUAAAGACUGUCUCCGACACCGUCACAAAGGGGGGGACGGGGUGGGGACUUCAGCACGCA
rnacentral:lncRNA from 1 species